UGUGUCAAAAGAGAGGAGACUCUCAUAAAGCACAUGCCCUCGCCUACAGAUUUCUCAAAGAAGACUUUUCUCAAGCCCCAAAACUGAUAAUGGUCAUGGUGACAGCAUGGCCAAGUGUUUUCUCCUGUAACAGCCCUUUAUGCAGAGCCAUUCACAUCGUGUGCAAAAUGAAGGCAUACGGAAAGAUGUAUUAUUUGCUCAGCAAGUUUCUGCACUGGGAUACAGAGCCUCCUG